GGCCAGGGUUUUCUGUUAGGUACCAGAACAUCCCUAUUAUUUAGAAUAAUUUAUACUUUUGCAAACAGUAAAUUUUAUAAAAUGACUAUACAAAAGAUAUAUGAUAAAACUGAAGUAUUAACUAAUUACAGGAAACAACCGAAAUACAUUACAUAACCCGACAAAAUGCAUCACAAAAAAUAGACACAUCCGAAUAAGUUAAAACCUCAACGCCA
rnacentral:lncRNA from 1 species